rnacentral:lncRNA from 1 species
CUUGUAAAAUUGAAUAUGUAUUUGCCUGUCUGCGAACGAUGUGAGAAUGAUAAUGACGAUGCAAUUCCCUCAACGCCAGAGGAUGUUCUCAUAUUCUUUUGUAUAUAAUUUUUGAUAAAAUCUCUUAUUUUUUAAUCUUCUUGUAAAUCCUCAGAAUAAUUUUUUGGCUGUGCAAACUGAAGAGAAUGAUGACCUUGGGUCAUACCAAGUCUGAAACCAAGUGAAUUUAUUUUUUGUCCGAUACUCCCUAAACACUAUACAUAUCAUGUAAAUUGAAAAUGUGCUGGAGAACAUCAUUAGUUGAAAAUACCUUUAUGCAA